UACAGAGGGGGCAAGCGUUGUUCGGAAUUACUGGGCGUAAAGGGCGCGUAGGCGGCCCGCUAAGUCGAACGUGAAAUCCCCGGGCUCAACCCGGGAACUGCGUCCGAUACUGGUGGGCUUGAAUCCGGGAGAGGGAUGCGGAAUUCCAGGUGUAGCGGUGAAAUGCGUAGAUAUCCGGAGGAACACCGAUGGCGAAGGCAACCGCCUGGGCCUGUACUGACGCUGAGGAGCGAAAGCGUGGGUAGCGAACAGG
rnacentral:rRNA from 1 species